rnacentral:rRNA from 1 species
GAGUUUGAUCGUGGCUCAGAGCGAACGCUGGCGGCAGGCCUAACACAUGCAAGUCGAGCGCCCGUAGCAAUACGGGAGCGGCAGACGGGAGAGUAACACGUGGGAACGCGCCCUUCGGUUCGGAAUAACUCAGGGAAACUUGAGCUAAUACCGGAUACGCCCUUACGGGGAAAGAUUUAUUGCCGAAGGAACGGCCCGCGUCCGAUUAGCUUGUUGGUGAGGUAAUGGCUCACCAAGGCGACGAUCGGUAGCUGGUCUGAGAGGAUGACCAGCCUCACUGGGACUGAGACACGGCCCAGACUCCUACGGGAGGCAGCAGUGGGGAAUAUUGGACAAUGGGCGCAAGCCUGAUCCAGCCAUGCCGCGUGGAUGAUGAAGGCCCUAGGGUUGUAAAGUCCUUUUAACGGGGAAGAUAAUGACGGUACCCGUAGAAUAAGCCCGGCUAACUUCGUGCCAGCCGCCGCCGU